rnacentral:rRNA from 1 species
AGCGAACGCUGGCGGCAGGCCUAACACAUGCAAGUCGAACGGAUCCUUCGGGAUUAGUGGCGGACGGGUGAGGAACACGUGGGAACGUGCCUUUUGGUUCGGAACAACUCAGGGAAACUUGAGCUAAUACCGGAUGUGCCCUUCGGGGGAAAGAUUUAUCGCCAUUAGAGCGGCCCGCGUCUGAUUAGCUGGUUGGUGGGGUAAGAGCCCACCAAGGCGACGAUCGGUAGCCGGUCUGAGAGGACGGACGGCCACACUGGGACUGAGAUACGGCCCAGACUCCUACGGGAGGCAGCAGUGGGGAAUUUUGGGCAAUGGGCGAAAGCCUGACCCAGCAACGCCGCGUGGAGGAAGAGGGCCUUCGGGUUGUAAACUCCUGUCCCGAGGGACGAAGUAGGUGACGGUACCUUGGGAGGAAGCCCGGCGUAACUCCGUGCCAGCAGCCGCGGUAAGAUAGCGUACU